GUGGGGGAUAUUGCACAAUGGAGGAAACUCUGAUGCAGCGACGCCGCGUGAGUGAAGAAGUAUUUCGGUAUGUAAAGCUCUAUCAGCAGGGAAGAAAGGCCCGUAAGGGAGAUGACGGUACCUGACUAAGAAGCCCCGGCUAACUACGUGCCAGCAGCCGCGGUAAUACGUAGGGGGCAAGCGUUAUCCGGAUUUACUGGGUGUAAAGGGAGCGCAGACGGUGAUGUAAGUCUGAAGUGAAACCCCACGGCUCAACCGUGGGCUUGCUUUGGAAACUAUAUGACUAGAGUACUGGAGAGGUAAGCGGAAUUCCUAGUGUAGCGGUGAAAUGCGUAGAUAUUAGGAGGAACAUCGGUGGCGAAGGCGGCUUACUGGACAGCAACUGACGUUGAGGCUCGAAGGCGUGGGGAGCAAACAGG
rnacentral:rRNA from 1 species